rnacentral:rRNA from 1 species
UACGGAGGGGGCUAGCGUUGUUCGGAAUUACUGGGCGUAAAGCGCACGUAGGCGGCUUUGUAAGUUAGAGGUGAAAGCCCGGGGCUCAACCCCGGAAUUGCCUUUAAGACUGCAUCGCUUGAACGUCGGAGAGGUGAGUGGAAUUCCGAGUGUAGAGGUGAAAUUCGUAGAUAUUCGGAAGAACACCAGUGGCGAAGGCGGCUCACUGGUCCGGUACUGACGCUGAGGUGCGAAAGCGUGGGGAGCAAACAGG